CUAGUAGGGAUGAGCUAUAUACCAACUAUCUAUCAAUCCAGACGUCUCUACUAAAAAAUACUCCGUCUUCUAUGAAACUAGAAACGGAGUAUUUCUGU
rnacentral:sRNA from 1 species